AGGUGCAGAUUCAGCAAUGAUCUUGGCUGCUCUGGAAAGUUCCUUGGAGUCACGAGAGCAGAGGCACAGGUUGACCCAUGCUGACCCCAGGCCACUCUCCCUGCCAGAGAACAGAGCUCUGGAGUGAAUCCAGGAGGAGACUUCCAGAAAGCUCCUGUCUCACCUCUGUCUCACGUUGGCCUCUGUGCCCCUGGUGUGGAGGUCACUCUCAACACCCAUCCUACGUUCCUCCUCUGAAAAUAAAUUAGGACAACCAUCUCCAAAAUUACUUACAUAUCAAGGGUCAAAUAUCGCACAUUUCUGUUUAGGCCAUCUAUGGCUUUCAUCUCCUCUGAAAUUACAUCAUUGCCAAUUGGGAACAACCAAGUUC
rnacentral:lncRNA from 1 species